GUGCAACAUUUAAUACAUAAUAUUCGGUCAACAUAUUUUUUAGAAUAGGAAGGUAGGAUUUCUCUGAUUAAUGUUUAUUUUCUCUAUGACCAAGCGUAGUUUGACACAUUAGACGUAUGCAACUAGGUGAUAUUAAUCUCCUUAGAGAGGAGACAACGGAGAAGAAGGCAGCGGAAGCAAUGGAGGCUGGUAAGGUAUCUACCAAGAAGAAAGAAAGUAAAAAGUCAUCCAUUUCUUUGUAUGUUAAGCCUUGGGAUGACUAAAUCAUAUGAAGAAACAAGAGGAGGUUUUUUGCAAUGUUCAGAUGGAAGGGCUUUUCUGGGGAGCAUGCAUGACUUAUUAUAUCUAUUCAACUCUUUAACCAUGCCCUAACCAUUAUAUAUCUGAGUUUGGUUAUUGAUACGCUAUUUUUGCAUCUCUUUGACAACCAAAUUAGUUCCAAUCGGCAACGGGAUUAAGAAAUUGCAAAUCAUGCUUACCAUCGUAGAUGACCUGAAAUUUGGGUUGCGUAGAGCCCCAUGUUGUUGCUUGGAAUGUCCGUCACCUGCCAGUUGUUCACUAUUUCAAACAAUCAGAUUCUAACGGAUGUGCUUAGAGGGAAAUAUUUGUCAAUAAUAUCUAAGGUAAGGAAUCUUGCAGCAGACCGUUUCUCAAUAGAGAUGAUGUUCUUGAAGAAUUUUGUAGCUGAUCUAUAUCUCUAUAUAUGUAUGGAGGUGAUGAUUUGUAUUACUUCAUGAUCUUCCACCAAAUGGGAAUUGCCUUUACGUUUGGAAAGAGGAACUGGUUCAUUUUGUAACUUUUAUGUAAUUUGUAUUGUUUGCAUCUGGAAUCAGAACUCAAAUUUUUUGUUGAUAAUUUUUGUUGGUUUUUGCAUUAGAAAGCCUCUAAUUUUCACAUGUUAACAGAGUCAUUUUAUUGGU